rnacentral:rRNA from 1 species
AUUCCAGCUCCAAUAGCGUAUAUUAAAGUUGUUGUGGUUAAAAAGCUCGUAGUUGGAUUUCGGCGGGUAUUGGUUGGUUUGAAUUGCUUCAACACUGACUUUUUUACCCGUGUGUUUUGCCAGAAUUUAGCGGGUGAUCUUCGCCGAUUGUCCGUUGGAACUGGUAGGUUUACUUUGAAAAAAUUAGAGUGCUCAAAGCAAGCUUACUGCUUGAAUAGUUGCGCAUGGAAUAAUAGAAUAGGAAGUCGUUUCUAUUUUGUUGGUUUCGAACACCGGAGUAAUGAUUAACAGGGACAGUCAGGGGCACUCGUAUUCCGCCGAGAGAGGUGAAAUUCUCAGACCAGUGGAAGACGAACCACUGCGAAAGCAUUUGCCAGGGAUGUUUUCAUUA